AAGCUUCAAUCAAAAAAACUAAGAUACCACCUGAGAACCUUGAUAAUACCACAACACAACAACUGUAUGAUGUUAAUUUUGCCAGGAUUCCGAAAGCUAGUUUUGAAGCAAAACCAGUUUCUACCAAUUUAUCCACGAGUGGUACGAAACGUCAGUUUCAUGUUAUACAAGAACCGCGAACACUAUUCUUACGUCCAGCUCCCGGAAAAGCUAUUCGUUUAGAAGAUAAUGAUAUUGAAAAAUCUAUAUCCGUGUCCGGAAAAGCUGUUUGUUUAGAAUAUGAUAAUACAAAAAAAAUAAAUCCGUACCCGGAAAAGCUAUUCGUUUAGAAG